UACGGAGGGGGCAAGCGUUAUUCGGAAUUAUUGGGCGUAAAGGGCGCGUAGGCGGCUAGAUGUGUCAAAGGUGAAAUCCCUCAGCUCAACUGAGGAACUGCCUUUGAAACUGUCUGGCUUGAGGCCGGGAGAGGGUAGCGGAAUUCCCAGUGUAGCGGUGAAAUGCGUAGAGAUGUGGAGGAACACCAGUGGCGAAGGCGGCUUUCUGGUCUGUAACUGACGCUGAGGCGCGAAAGCGUGGGGAGCAAACAGG
rnacentral:rRNA from 1 species